rnacentral:rRNA from 1 species
GCACAAGCAGUGGAGUAUGUGGUUUAAUUCGACGCAACGCGAAGAACCUUACCAAGUCUUGACAUCCUGCGACGAUGCUAGAAAUAGUAUUUUCCUUCGGGACGCAGAGACAGGUGGUGCAUGGUUGUCGUCAGCUCGUGUCGUGAGAUGUUGGGUUAAGUCCCGCAACGAGCGCAACCCUUAUGGUCAGUUACUACGCAAGAGGACUCUGGCCAGA